ACGGAAGGCAGCAGUGGGGAAUAUUGGACAAUGGGGGAAACCCUGAUCCAGCGACGCCGCGUGAGUGAAGAAGUAUUUCGGUAUGUAAAGCUCUUUAAGCAGGAAAGAAAAUGACGGUACCUGCAGAAUAAGCCCCGGCUAACUACGUGCCAGCAGCCGCGGUAAUACGUAGGGGGCAAGCGUUAUCCGGAUUUACUGGGUGUAAAGGGAGCGUAGACGGCAAUGCAAGUCUGAAGUGAAAGCCCGUGGCUUAACUGCGGGACUGCUUUGGAAACUGCAUGGCUAGAGUGUCGGAGAGGUGAGUGGAAUUCCCAGUGUAGCGGUGAAAUGCGUAGAUAUUGGGAGGAACACCAGUGGCGAAGGCGGCCUGCUGGGCUUUAACUGACGCUGAGGCACGAAAGUAUGGGGAGCAAACAGGAUUAGAUACCCUGGUA
rnacentral:rRNA from 1 species